rnacentral:rRNA from 1 species
UACGUAGGGACCAAGCGUUGUUCGGAUUUACUGGGCGUAAAGGGCGCGUAGGCGGUCAGCACAAGUCAGUUGUGAAAUCUCCGGGCUUAACUCGGAAAGGUCAACUGAUACUGUGCGACUAGAGUGCAGAAGGGGCAACUGGAAUUCCUGGUGUAGCGGUGAAAUGCGCAGAUAUCAGGAGGAACACCGAUGGCGAAGGCAGGUCUCUGGGCCGAUACUGACGCUGAGGAGCGAAAGCGUGGGGAGCGAACAGG